rnacentral:misc_RNA from 1 species
GAAGCGAACUACAAUGCAGGAGAUAUCAUCCUUACUGCCCUUAUUCAAUGCCCCUGCUGCUAGUUGCUUGGCUGCCCUCUGUGGAUCUUUUGUCUUUCUUGCAAUAUCAACUGCCUCUUGAUUAGACAUCACCUUGAAUCAUCAACCAAAAAAGAAUUAAAGGAGCAAAGACGUAAGCACAAUAAACAUAAGGUGUAAGGUUCUCCCAUCAACGUUCUUUGUUGUAAUCCUUUAACAAAAUCCUAAGCAUUGAAUUUCAUAAUAGAAAGAACAUCACCUUUGCAAAGAGAGCGAGAGAGCGAGAGAGAGAUAGAGAAAGAGAG